UCUAAUCUAAUAAUGCCGACAACCAUAAAAAGCUUAUAUUUUUGUGUGCCAAAAAGUCUCUGAUUUUUACCAUGAGAUACCAUAGGAAAAGAGGUGUCGAACAUCCUUCUUGGGGCAUGAGUUUUGGGGUGGGUUCAUACCAUCUUGGCAUGUGCAAAGGAGGAUAUCGAUCUCCUUUCAGGUGAGAGAUCUAGAAUCAUUCUAGGAUUUCUGGAUGAGAGAAAACUAAAGAGAAGAGAUUCUUUAUCUAAUUUUUCUUCACCAUCUAGUAUCCUUCUCUAUUUUAUCUUCGACAUCAAAAAGAUUCAAAGUGAUCGAAGAAGGAGAUCAAAUCAGAUCUACCAUCAGAAGCCGACUAUAUGAACUAGUACUCCUACAGAGGGCUGAUCAGUCUGAGGACUUCAUGUGGACCAUCCAUAGAGGUCGGAUGCUUAUGUGCCUAUGAGCAACCAGAGAACACUUUCAGAUCCACAUUUUCGAUCAUGGAGUUCGAUUAUCCACGCUCAGAUAUUAGGUUCAAAAUCUUCACUGUGGUAGAUUAGAUCUAUCACAAUGUAUUGAUUUUUGUUCACAUACUUGUUAUUUUAAAUUUAAAUUUUUAUACAUAUAAAUUUAUGUCAAAGAUCUAUUUGUAGAAGUUUUAAGAUCAGAUCUUAUACAUGCAUUUAUAGAUUAAAUAGUUUAAUUUAAUAUUUUUUCACUGUAAAAAUUUAGAAAUGCAUGUAUAAAAUCUCUGCGCAUCCUAACAUUUAGAUCUAAAACUAAUUUCAGAUUUGAAUAACUCAUGAUUUAUUUUAGAUUUAAAAUAAUUUUAGAUCUGAAACAAUUCUAUAAUCAUAUUACAAUAUAUAAAAAAUUUAGAUCUAAUAUUAAUUAAUAUUUUACAUCGUUCUAAGACAACCAUUCAGCAUAAUAGGGUUAUACUAGGACAACCUUAUUUAAGAAUAAUAUUGAUCAUCUAACCAACCUUCAGAUCUGAUUUCUGCAAAUCAAAUUUUAGAUCCAAGGGAUUACGUGUUCAUAUCAAAACCUAGCUCUGAUACCACUGAUAGAAAGCAUUUUGAUUUCG
rnacentral:lncRNA from 1 species